rnacentral:rRNA from 1 species
UACGAAGGGGGGCUAGCGUUGCUCGGAAUCACUGGGCGUAAAGGGUGCGUAGGCGGGUCUUUAAGUCAGGGGUGAAAUCCUGGAGCUCAACUCCAGAACUGCCUUUGAUACUGGCGACCUUGAGUCCGGGAGAGGUGAGUGGAACUGCGAGUGUAGAGGUGAAAUUCGUAGAUAUUCGCAAGAACACCAGUGGCGAAGGCGGCUCACUGGCCCGGUACUGACGCUGAGGUGCGAAAGCGUGGGGAGCAAACAGGG